rnacentral:rRNA from 1 species
AUGGAGAGCACCGCCUCGGUGCUAGACCGCGCCUCCUCCGCCGCGGCCCGGGCUGCGGCGGAUGCGGGCCACCUCUCCUCCAUCCGUCUCGUCUGGGUGGCGGGGCUGGUGGUGCGCGCCCUGGAGCGGUGCAAGGUUCUGGAUCGCGCCAGGGAGCUUCAAGAAGCUGUCGAUGUUCUUGCUGGCGCGGACCUGCAGACCAUGGCGAACGCCGCGGGCUUGGUGAGCAGCGCCGCCGCCAGGGCGGCUUUGGAGGCAUAUUUGCAAGGGGUGGAUCUUGUAGUGACCUGUCGGAAUCUGGAGGUGGCAACACGCGAGCUAAGCUUGGCGGUGGCGGUGGCGGCGGCGGCCGACUCAAAGGCCAGAGAGGAGGGUACCUGCAAAUGGAUCCCGUGGCUGAAGAAGGACAGGAGGAAUGCAGAUGAGCUCGACGACGGCGGCCUACGCCAAGCGCUUCUUCAGCACAAGGCCUGGCCGGCAUUCAAGAAGGCCUCCAGUGUACUUGCUGGAGCGCCCGGACCAGAGGAGAACCUGGGGGAGUUUCUUGGCUAUCCUCUGUUCGGGUCAUUGACCUUACUGCCUUACCUAGACCCUACAGGAGUGGUGAUGAAGCAUGUGUCGGGCAAUGGCAGGAAAGCUUUCCAUGUUAUCUUCUCCUUGGUUUGGAUUGCAGUCGGUCUAGGUGUUCCAUGCAGGCACUGCCGGCAUUCUGCGUUCAUGCAAAACUGUGCUGAUAUCACAAGCCGCAUCGGCAUGGCUGGCAUCACUGCCCUGGUGAUUUGGUAUAGCUGCCUCCUGAUAGCACCAGGGACGUCAGUUAUUUCCUACAUCAUGAUGGUCUUGGCUUGCAUUUUACACAUUGUUGCUUGGGCCAGGGAUCGCAGAUGGAUUGGGGGAUAG